AUUGAACGCUGGCGGCAGGCCUAACACAUGCAAGUCGAGCGAGCGGCGGACGGGUGAGUAAUGUAUCGGGAAUGCCCGAUAGAGGGGGAUAACUCCUGGAAACGGUAGCUCAUACCGCAUACUACCGGCUCAUCCCUAUGGGAUUAGCGAGUAGGUGAGGUAAUGGCUCACCUAGGCGACGAUACCUCGCUGGUCUGAGAGGAUGAUCAGCCACACUGGGACUGAGACACGGCCCAGACUCCUACGGAGGCAGCAGUGGGGAAUAUUGCACAAUGGGCGCAAGCCUGAUGCAGCCAUGCCGCGUGUAUGAAGAAGGCCCUAGGGUUGUAAAGUACUUUCAGUCGGGAGGCGUUACCGACAGAAGAAGCACCGGCUAACUCCGUGCCAGCAGCCGCGGUAAUUC
rnacentral:rRNA from 1 species